AAUUGAAUAUCUAAUCACUAAACAGUCGUGUAUUUAUCUCUCAUAUAUUUGUUGACUCGCAUCAAAUUGAAAACAUUGAUUAAAUAGUCCAUUUCUAUGAUAUGAAAAGCACAAGCUGCUGCCCGAGGCAAUAAAUUAUCGCUCGAUAUGGCAAGGGCUCUAGGGCCCGUAGCCUGCUCCGCUGCCCCCUUUCUAUUUGCGGAAUUAUUAAUGAAACUGGAGGCGGCAGGCGUUGCAUGCAAUUAAUUUAAAAACUAAGCAAAUAUUAAUCAUAAUUCCCGCACGUUUGCGAAGUCCGACUAUAUUCUUUGGCCCAAUGCCACCAAAGAAUGGUUAUGCGAAUGGAAUUGUAAUACAAUGGCGUCAUAUGGCAUAUUGCACAAACCUCAACGACAGCGACAACGACAAUGUCAAUCCAUUUACUUAAUGAAAUUUCAAGUCUGAUUCGAAACUAACCCCCCAGCAAGGACUACUGAAGGGGUGGGCAAGUGGGCUACUGCACUGUCGCCCCCAAAUCACAUAAGUUAUAUGUGAGCCAAGUUCAUUCAUAAAAGGCGUCGGCAGCCGAAAAAUAACAAAAACAACGCGAACAAAACAGAAAAAAAAUCAAUGUGAGGAGCUGGGGUUAGGGGUUUUCCCUACGCAGGCGCUGCUUCUAAAACAAAACUGUGCCUAAAAAUAGCUGACAAAUGUUAAAAACAUAUCAAAUUUAUAAACUUGUGCAGAAAAACAAGUGGUGUUCGGCCUAAAGAAGGAAACGGUAGGUGAGGGGAGGGAAGGGAUUGGAAGAUGGAGCUGGGUUGCUUGGUUUGUGGUUUAGUUUUUGAUGGGCAGGCUUAAAGGCGAAAUUUGUGUAAAAAGUAGCAAAACAUUUUGUUGAAUAAUCUUAAAAGAAAAUGUGGCCAAAUAUAAAGAAGAUAGCAGGGGGAGAUAGGCAGAGGCAGGGGCAGGGACAGCGGCAACCAGAAUGUUCGCGCUGUUGCUAUUUUUGGAACGAAACCCAAAAGAACGCAAGCAAGAGUAGGGAGAGAGAGAGUAAGAGCGAGAGAGAGAGAUAGUUAGCGAGCGAGUGAGUGAGCGAGAAGGCAAGCCUCACACUGAAGACAGGCGCCAAUGUUGCUGUAGGCAGCGCCCCGCCUCCUACCAUACAAGCAAGCUGGCACGCAUUGCGUGGGCAUGAAAAGCUGCAUGACGCGAGCUGACGAAGCUCAAAGCUUUUUAGCGUGGGCGGCGCUGUCGACGCAACAGGAGUAGCAGUUAAUGCAGCUAGCAGAGGCAGAGCAGAAGCUUCACACCAAAAGCUUUGCCCACACACACACACAUAGAAAGACACUCGUUACCCCUGUCGUGCAGCUGGAAAGUUGGAAAGCAUCACUUCGGCUCACGACGCACAUCGCUCGUGUGUUGGCCGUCGUGCCUCGGCUGGCUGUGCUUCGGCUCGUGUGCGUCUACCUGAUGCACGCAGCGAGCUGGCGAGUUCAGUUCAACCUGGUGAGCGCAGCGUGUUGAACGCUCCGCAAUGUGUUGAGCGGUUAAAUAAGAAAAGUGACGCCUACAACAAGUAGGCAAAAUUCCCAACUAGUGUUCUGCGACAGCUAAUUCAGCGAUUGGCGUUCGAGUGUGGCCAGCUCCGCUCAUUGGCUGUGUGACAUCUUCAGCUGCUGCCGCUGUCGCCGUCCCAGUCGCUGUCUUUUGUGGCAACAUAUGGCGCACAGCAUUGAUGCCCAAAAUGCAGCGGGCUUAUCAUGAGAGCUCUGCGCACCAUCAACUGUGGUGGGCCGAUUAUCAUGGCAAGCAAUGUACAACAACAGCGACAACAGCGGCA